UACAGAGGUCUCAAGCGUUGUUCGGAUUCACUGGGCGUAAAGGGUGCGCAGGCGGCCGUGUGUGUGAGGCGUGAAAGCCCGGGGCUUAACCCCGGAAUUGCACCUCAAACUACAUGGCUAGAGCAUUGGAGAGGGUAGCAGAAUUCACGGUGUAGCAGUGAAAUGCGUAGAUAUCGUGAGGAAUACCAGAGGCGAAGGCGGCUACCUGGACAAUUGCUGACGCUCAGGCACGAAAGCGUGGGGAGCAAAAGGG
rnacentral:rRNA from 1 species